rnacentral:rRNA from 1 species
AUUGAACGCUGGCGGCAGGCUUUACACAUGCAAGUCGAACGGCAGCGCGGGCUUCGGCCUGGCUGCGAGUGGCGGACGGGUGAGUGAGGCAUCGGAACGUGCCCAGCAGUGGGGGAUAGCCCGGCGAAGUCCGGAAUAAUACCGCAUACGACCUGAGGGUGUAAGCGGGGGACCGAAAGGCCUCGCGCUAUUGGACCGGCCGAUGUCGGAUUAGCUAGUUGGUGGGGUAAAGGCUUACCAAGGCGACGAUCCGUAGCUGGUCUGAGAGGACGACCAGCCACACUGGGACUGAGACACGGCCCAGACUCCUACGGGAGGCAGCAGUGGGGAAUAUUGGACAAUGGGCGCAACCCUGAUCCAGCCAUGCCGCGUGCGGGAAGAAGGCCUUCGGGUUGUAAAGCGCUUUUGUUCGGGAAGAAAACCUCUGGGCUAAUACCCCGCGGGGAUGACGGUACCGAAAGAAUAAGCACCGGCUAACUACGUG